rnacentral:rRNA from 1 species
GAGAGUUAAAUAGUACGUGAAAUUGUUGAAAGGGAAACGAUUGAAGUCAGUCAUGCUAGUGAAAAAUCAGUUUGACGGGUUUUGAGUUCGGGAGUAGAGGCAGGGUCAAACCGUUUCUCUUUUGAACUUGGGAUUUGUUAGAUGUACUUUUUCUUUGGCAGGUCAGCGUCGAUUUCGGAGGUUGUAAAAUACUUGGGGAAAAGUAGCUCUGCUUCGGGAGAGUGUUAUAGACCUUGGGUGAUGCGGCCUGCGGGAUCGAGGAUUGCAGCAAAUGCUUUUGGCUUGUCGCCUGAUCUCUGGACGUCAUCUCGCUUGUAUCAACAUUCUUGGUACCGGUGAGUAAUGGUGCUCAUAGGUUAGAGCGAUCAAAAAUUUUGCUAAGGAUGCUGACGUAAUGGCUUUAAACGA